CCUUUUUACUAUGUUCCCAUUUGUCUUUUCCUUCCUUCCUUCCUCCUCCCUUCAAAAAACACUGAGCAGACGUGGAGGUUUGUACAGUUAUUUCAUCUCUGGGAGCAGACACUAAAGUGUGUCCCAGGGCUGCUGGUCAUAUCCCUCUACCUUGGAAGUGGUAAGAAACCAUAAUAUGUAUAAGCUAAUGGGUAAGAAUACCUGUUUAUGAAUUCUGAGUGAAAAUUUAAAUUAGUGCUUAGAAAGAACACUGUAUGUUGUAUUUAAUUGUAAUGUUACUUUGGAGGUUGGAGGGGAGAAGCUGUUCCCAUCACAGAAAAUUUCUUCCUGUGUGUGUUCUGUAGGAACACACUUGUGUGAGGCACUGGGUGACCAGAGUGCUGUGUAGGGUGCUUUUGGUUUGUACCAAAGAUGAUAUUACAAGAAUGGUGCAGCCUCUUUAUUCAAACAGAAACAUUUAAUUUUGUGUGUAUGGAGAGCAGAAAAUGAAAACUGGAUGCUCCAGAAAAAGAGCAGGAAAACUAACUAGAAAAAUCCCAGGGAAAAUGAUAGAAAGUGAACUGCUUUCUGCGAUGCUCUGGUUUAAAAACUGGAACCUGAUAUUUAACUGCAGUGGAUUAUUCUCCCUAACAAACGUGCUUUAUUGGCUAUUUGGCAACCUGAAAAGAAAGGACCCCUCAGGUUGUAUUUGAGAGAGAUCUUUACAGUAUGUGUGCUCAAGCAGGUAAAUGUGCCCUUCCUGCCACUAUUUUGUGUACUAUAACAAAGGAGAAUUUUAUUUUUAUUGUAAGUGGCUUUUUAAUUUUCUGAACUUUACAGUUGGAGGAAUGUUUUGCAGUGUUACUUUAUUUUGUUGUGGUUUUUAUUUAAACCGGAAUUUUAAAGUGGCUCUGUGUUUAUUAUCUGGUAUAAAAAAACUGACUACCCUCAAGUGCCUUAAAUAUUUCACCCAAGGAUUGCUGGCUGCCUAUCACAUGAUAAGCUGGCUUUUACUGUUUUUAAAAUGUGACCUUUUUAUUUCAGUAAUGCACUUAAAUGUUUCAGUUUUGUGAAUUAUCGUAGUAGUAACUAGGUUUCAAGAAAACACGUCUUUCAUUGUUGCCAAAUGUUGUGGUUUGCAGUAAAAGCUUCACUUGAAUUACUCCCUGCCCAGUGCAAAAAGCUGUAGUGAGUUAAUCAUAAAGUAACAAUCUGAGUCACUAUGCCUUUCAUUUAAAAACAAGUAACUUCUGUCCUCCACAAGAAAAUUCAGUAACACAAACUAGAAACAGUUUAGUAACAGUUUUUAUUAAUGCAUACUUAAUUUGGCCUUACUUCCUGAACCUUUGGGUCUAGAUAACUUUCUAAGGAACUGUGAAGCUCAGAGGAUGUAAGAGUCUUAAUGAGUGUGGAAGGUGUUGCACAACUGUUCCAUUCAUUCCGUGCUAGAGCCUCUGGUUGUGUUUUGUCUUGCCUGGCUCACGGGACUCAGCAAGAUCUGAAGGCUCAAUGGUAAAUUUGUUAUUAAUUUCAGUGUCUAAACAAAAAGUGCUUUGCAUCUAGCAGCAAGAUUGUAAGCCUAACUUAGAAGCACAUGUUAUUGCGACAUGUCAGUCCUGUUGAUUAAAAUAUGCUGAACAUUAAUGUUGCUUGGGGAGGAAAUUUAGGUAGAAGGGAUGGCUCAGGGGAAGAAUGGAGCAGCAUUGGUUGUGUCCCCAGUGUCUCUGGAUCAUUGACUGCUGUGGAGCAAUGCAGUGACCCGAGUGAGCUGAGGUUUUUGCUGGAAUGCUACAGAUGAUCCUGUGGUUUAAUGUAGGAACUGCUCAGUGAGCUACUCUCUCGUGACACAGCAGCUGAGAGAGUGACUGCCUUGUUUUGCUGUGCAACAACGGGAGCUUUUCCUCUGAAAAGAAUGUGAGCAGUUUUCCAUCCUACGUUUUGGUGUCCUAAAAUGUGUGGGGAAGGCUUUCUGUGAUGGUAGCCUGAGAGGGUGGGUAUCAGUUUUUGUAGUGAACCUACUUCAGUUGAGAAAACCCUUUGUAGUAAUCCCUUUGGAUUUAUCGUCUCAUCUCUCUUUGAUUUCUAACCCAGAUAUUCAAUGUCAUGCUAAAUUCUCAUGACCACUAGUGCCUCUUGGUGUCUUGGAAAUAGUUCUCAGUAUUAAUAUGUCAUGUCAGCUGAAAAGUAAUCAAAUGGAAACAUAAAGGAGCGACUGGACCUCUGAACACCUGUCUGUCAGAGACACUUAUUAAAAUACUGCCUUAAAAUGAGCUGGUAGGUUCUUGUGAUAGAUAACCUUAUCUCUGCAUGGAACAGGAAACCAAAAUCUUACAGAGAAUCACUUAAGCCUUUAUUUUGGUGUGACCCCUCAGAGCCUGAACACUCACAAGCUGUUCAGUGUCCCUGGUUUAAUGUGUUUUCCAAGCUGUUGCUGAUGCACACAAAAAUAAACAAGAGCCAGCUGUGUUGGCCACAUAGAAAAUUUAGUGAGAUGCAGCUUUUGUUACAAAGAAGAGGACAAAAUCAAUAGGAAAAGAAAUGUUUUCAGGCUUCUUGGAGUGCAAACAAUGGAAUAAAAAAAGCAGCCUUGAAGAAUUGGCAGUGCACUGUCUACUGAAAACCACUGCUUUAAGCAAAUGAAUUUGGCUGCUUUGUAACAUCUGCCUUAUUUUGAUAACAAACUCCUCUCAGUCAGAGUUUUAUGUCUUAUUGUGUGCUUUUAGUCUGAAGAGAGAAGAUACAUUCAGCUCCUUAGGCAGUUGAAUAUAUCUGUGCUUUGUGACUAGUUAGAUUAUGAUUAUUGAUUACUAAUUGCCAGGGGACAUUAAUAUAUCAAGUACUGAACUUGUUAAUGAUUAAAUGGUUCUGAAUUUCCAUGCACAGGAACUUCAUUGGUCCUUCCUGAUCUAUCGGGUUGCUUCUCGAAGUUAAUUAUCAUUUUUGAGGCAAUACAUUAGGCAUGUGGAAGGUUUGUUGCUUUGACAAAUGGAGCUGGAAGGUGUGACCAUCAUUCCCUCUAGGAACUAUUUAUCCUUUUAUCUAAGCAAUGAUGGUUUUUUGGGAUGUCCAAGGAUAAAGAAAUAAUAGCUAGGGAACUAGACUGAUCCUGUGGGGAGCUUCUCAGGGCAAUAAAAUGCUAUGAUUUCCUUUUUUUCAUGCUGCCCUUUUGAACUUUGUUAAAAGGUAUUCUGCUGAAUAUUGGAUGAUUAAUGCUGCUUUUUUCCCCCCCUUUUUCUUUUUUUUUAAUCUUUUUUUUCUUUCACCUUGUUUAAUAAUAGCAAGAUAUUUGUUUUAUUGUGGGUUAAAAGUUUAUACUGGCCUCUUUUUUGUCAGUAUUAAGUUUUAACUCUAAGUACUUUUAAUUUAAUGACUUCAACUACUUUCAACUUCCUCUUCUGAAAGUCUGUUUCUGCUCUGUCUCCUCCUUAUUCUCUUCCCAAUUUUCUCUCUUCUAUCUUUUAUGUCCUUUGUCAUACCCCAGACCCUCUCACAACCAUGGUGCUUCUUAGACUGUAAACUCUGUUAGCUGUUAAGUUAGUUUAGUUGCCAUUUUAUAAUUUUAAUUUCAUCUGUGUCCAUAGGGAACGUGGUCCGAUUUUUGGAGGCCUGCAACACCAACCAGAGUGUAAACAGUGCUAUGUCAGCUAGGAAGAUAAGAGACUACAAUAGCUGUUGUGUCUUUGGCAUGGACCAGUACUGGAUGUCUAAAAAGAAAAUUCUGUUAUUUGCAUGUUAUUCCAUAGGAAUACUUAAGCUUAUUUCAGGUAACAGUAGCUCUCAUCCUGAUUACAGGACCAGAAACAUUCUUGUCUCUGUAUUUCCUUGUUCCUGCAGAUUGUUUUCAAACAUUUGCACUGUUUAGAGUGGGGGAAAAGCUUUCUGACUUCCUUCACCUCCUCAGCUCUCUCUCUCUCACCCCAGCUGGCCAAGCAGACAGGCUGGUAACAGAGCAGUCCCACGGCUCGUCGGCCCUUCGGUCGGUGUCAUUCUCCAGGGUCUGCUCUGUAAGGUAAUGUCAGUCCUGUGCUUACGUAGUGGUAAGUUAGACCUCUGUGGCUACUGCUGCUGACUUAAAAAUAUAUGUUCUUAUCAGUAUUAAAAUAGUACAAAAGCAGAGCUGUUGCUUUAGGCACAUUUCUUGCCACUGUGUUGGUUAAUGAACCUUGAAUGAAAGUAAGAGGGCCAGGGGCUCUGAAAUAGGAGCUGUUAGCCAAGUGUUGUAGAAUCAUAGUCCUUAUUUAUUUUGUAUGCUAAUCUGCACUUGUGACCCUGAGCAGAAAAGCUGCAGUACAGCAGGUUUUAUAAGCUGUGGCUUAACCAGUUAUCUAGUCUCUUAAAACUUAUUUGAACUGACUGGUUUUAUGCACAGACCAGAACCCUGUUGCCACUGAUCAUUAAAUGCUAUGCAUAUUGUACUUUCAUUUACGUGGAUUGUUCUAAUAGUGCUUGUGUGUAUUAUGCUACAUUGCCGUAUUUUUUUAUAUAUGUAUGUAUUGCAUGAGGUUUAAUUGGGAUUUUUUGUAUUGUCACUUUUGUAUUCACACAGUGCCUCAUGUAUCUAUUUGCAUAUUGCAAGAAAUUGUUUCAAAGCAGUGAUUGGAAACAGGUGGGGAUAAUAACUCACCACUGUAGGAUCUGAUGUUUCUGAAGUAUUAAUAAAAGUACAGUGAUUCAAA